GUGGGGAAUAUUGCACAAUGGGCGAAAGCCUGAUGCAGCAACGCCGCGUGAAGGAAGAAGGCCCUUGGGUCGUAAACUUCUGUUCUAAGGGAAGAUAAUGACGGUACCUUAGGAGCAAGUCCCGGCUAACUACGUGCCAGCAGCCGCGGUAAUACGUAGGGGGCGAGCGUUAUCCGGAAUUAUUGGGCGUAAAGAGUACGUAGGUGGUUAUCUAAGCGAGGGGUUUAAGGCAAUAGCUCAACUAUUGUUUGCCCCGCGAACUGGGUGACUUGAGUGCUGGAGAGGAAAGCGGAAUUCCUAGUGUAGCGGUGAAAUGCGUAGAUAUUAGGAGGAACAUCAGUGGCGAAGGCGGCCACCUGGACCGGUAUUGACGCUGAGGUGCGAAAGCGUGGGGAGCAAACAGGAUUAGAAACCCGAGUAGUCC
rnacentral:rRNA from 1 species